rfam:Oryza glumipatula chromosome 5, whole genome shotgun sequence.
AAUAAGUGUAGCCAUGAAUUUCUAUACCCAACUUUGAUCAUCCGUCUUAUUUGAAUUUUUUUUAUAAUUAGCAUUUUGUUGUCAUGAGAUGAUUAAAACAUAAAUACUACUUUACUACUCGUGACUUAUGUUUUUAAUUUUUUUCAAAAAAAUUUCAAAUAAGACGAACGGUUAAAGUUGGGUGCGAAAACCAUGGCUGCACUUAUU